CGCUGGCGGCGUGCCUAAUACAUGCAAGGUCGAACGGUCUUUCUAUGGAAGCUUGCUUCCACUGAGAAGAUAGUGGCGAACGGGUGAGUAACACGUGGGUAACCUGCCCAUAAGAGGGGGGAUAACAUCCGGAAACGGGUGCUAAUACCGCAUAGUUUUCUUGAUCGCAUGAUUGAGAAAGGAAAGACGGCCUUUGUGCUGUCGCUUAUGGAUGGACCCGCGGCGUAUUAGUUAGUUGGUGAGGUAACGGCUCACCAAGACGAUGAUACGUAGCCGACCUGAGAGGGUGAUCGGCCACAUUGGGACUGAGACACGGCCCAAACUCCUACGGGAGGCAGCAGUAGGGAAUCUUCCGCAAUGGACGAAAGUCUGACGGAGCAACGCCGCGUGAGUGAAAGAAGGUUUUCGGAUCGUAAAACUCUGUUGUCAGAGAAGAACAAGUUGGAGAGUAACUGCUCCAGCCUUGACGGUAUCUGACCAGAAAGCCACGGCUAACUACGUGCCAGCCGCCGC
rnacentral:rRNA from 1 species